AGAGAUGUGUGAUGACGCAUAUCAAUAAGCGGAGGAAAAGAAACUAACUAGGAUUCCCUUAGUAACGGCGAGUGAAGCGGGAAGAGCUCAAAUUUGAAAUCUUCAAGGUUUUACCUUGACGAAUUGUAGUUUAAAGAAGUGUUUUCUGUUGGAGUUUUGGUAAAAGUUCUUUGGAAUAGGACAUCAUAGAGGGUGAGAAUCCCGUAUUUGACCAUUAUCUUCCAACUGUGUGAUACACUUUCAAAGAGUCGGAUUGUUUGGGAAUGCAGUCCAAAAUGGGUGGUAAAUUUCAUCUAAAGCUAAAUACUGGCGAGAGACCGAUAGCGAACAAGUACCGUGAGGGAAAGAUGAAAAGAACUUUGAAAAGAGAGUUAAACAGUACGUGAAAUUGUCAAAAGGGAAGCGUUUGACACCAGUGUUGUUUUUCCGAAAAUCAAUUACGAAUGUUUUAUUUUUGAGAAGUUAUGACUUCAUCGGCUUGCUUCUCUCUUUAUGAAACUUUCUUAAUGCACUUUUCGGUUAACAAGUCAACAUCAAUUUCUUUUGUUGUAAAAGGGUAUGAGGAAGGUGGCUUUCUUUUCGGAGAAAGUGUUUAUAGCCUUGUACCUCUGCAAUCGGAGAGAUUGAGGUCUGCAGCGUAGAUCCUUCGGGGUUAGAUACAUUUGUGCUAAGUUAUAGCUUUUCAUAGACAACUUGUUGACUAAUGUUAAGUCUUGUAGCUUACUCGCUUAUGCUAUUUUACCUACGCUUAGGAUGUUGAAGAUGUAGCACAUCAU
rnacentral:rRNA from 1 species